AGUCAUCAUGAAAACAAACAUGAAAACAAACAUGAAAACAAACAAGAAAAGACCACUCCCCCCCCCUCAAAAAAACAACAACAUUAUUAUUAUUAUUUAUUAAAAACCAUAGGAUUAUUUUGUGUGUGAGAGAAAGGCUGUGUGGCAGUCAGGACAUUUGGUCAGCCGGUGAUUAUCAAGCAGAAUAACUGCCAGUUUUACGGUAACUUACCGUUAAUCAACAUAGUUAGCAUCUCCAGGUUAAUCAACAUAGUUAGCAUCUCCAGGUUAAUCAACAUAGUUAGCAUCUCCAGGUUAAUCACCAUAGUUAGCAUCUCCAGGUUAAUCAACAUAGUUAGCAUCUCCAGGUUAAUCAACAUAGUUAGCAUCUCCAGGUUAAUCAACAUAGUUAGCAUCUCCAGGUUAAUCAACAUAGUUAGCAUCUCCAGGUUAAUCAACAUAGUUAGCAUCUCCAGGUUAAUCAACAUAGUUAGCAUCUCCAGGUUAAUCAACAUAGUUAGCAUCUCCAGGUUAAUCAACAUAGUUAGCAUCUCCAGGUUAAUCAACAUAGUUAGCAUCUCCAGGUUAAUCAACAUAGUUAGCAUCUCCAGGUUAAUCAACAUAGUUAGCAUCUCCAGGUUAAUCAACAUAGUUAGCAUCUCCAGGUUAAUCAACAUAGUUAGCAUCUCCAGGUUAAUCAACAUAGUCAGCAUCUCCAGGUUAAUCAACAUAGUUAGCAUAUCCAGGUCUUCCACACAUACAGUCUAAAAGCCACUGAUCCAGACCUUUGUAACAUCUACAAUAUGAAAAAAGCCUAAUAAAUCCAUGUUAUAUAGUCUACACCAUCCCAAUAAAUCCAUUUUAGACAGGUCUAAGGAAGCACGAUAUGAAGAAAAUGUAGUUUAUUUCAGAAGAACAGAAUAGCAUACUCUGAAUUGUCCUUAUUUUAGGUCCUGAUCUGGCUAUGGCAUAUGGCUCUAGAUUACACUAGUUUAUUUAGCAUGCUAGAUUUGCUUAGAAUUCCAUGGCAUAAUUUUAUAUUAUUUUAUAGUCUGAAGAAUAAAAUUGAACAAAAUACUGAAUAAAAUAUAAAUGAUCCUUUCUUCAAAUGAUUUGAGGGAGGUACUCCUAAAUGCUUAAUUUAGAGUUCGUAAUGUAACUUUAGUUGUUCUAUAAACGUUGGGCUGAUAUGUUUAGAUUUUUAAUACAUUGUAAGGCUGCAUGGUGCGACUCUAAUCAUGAUUUGAAAAAAUUUGCUUGAAAAGGCAUGAGUUCUGCUUUGUUUUUGCACAGGCUGUACACACUUCACACUUCAUCAGUCUCUCACUGACAAUU